UACGGAGGGAGCUAGCGUUGUUCGGAAUUACUGGGCGUAAAGCGCACGUAGGCGGCUUUUUAAGUCAGGGGUGAAAUCCCGGGGCUCAACCCCGGAACUGCCUUUGAAACUGGAGAGCUAGAAUCUUGGAGAGGCGAGUGGAAUUCCGAGUGUAGAGGUGAAAUUCGUAGAUAUUUGGAAGAACACCAGUGGCGAAGGCGACUCGCUGGACAAGUAUUGACGCUGAGGUGCGAAAGCGUGGGGAGCAAACAGGG
rnacentral:rRNA from 1 species